rnacentral:rRNA from 1 species
GACGAACGCUGGCGGCGUGCUUAACACAUGCAAGUCGAACGGAAAGGCCCUGCUUUUGUGGGGUGCUCGAGUGGCGAACGGGUGAGUAACACGUGAGUAACCUGCCCUUGACUUUGGGAUAACUUCAGGAAACUGGGGCUAAUACCGGAUAGGAGCUCCUGCUGCAUGGUGGGGGUUGGAAAGUUUCGGCGGUUGGGGAUGGAUUCGCGGCUUAUCAGCUUGUUGGUGGGGUAGUGGCUUACCAAGGCUUUGACGGGUAGCCGGCCUGAGAGGGUGACCGGCCACAUUGGGCCUGAGGUACGGCGCAGUCGCCUACGGGAGACAGCGGUGGGGAAUAUUGCACAAUGGGCGGAAGCCUGAUGCAGCGACGCCGCGUGCGGGAUGACGGCCUUCGGGUUGUAAACCGCUUUCGCCUGUGACGAAGCGUGAGUGACGGUAAUGGGUAAAGAAGCACCGGCUAACUACGUG